AUGUCUAGCGCAACGAGGGUGCAUAGGAAAGCUAUGGCCUCCCUCACAAUGCUUGUUAGCUGGACUAUAUGGAAUGAGAGGAACCCGAGGAUUUUCCGCAACAAGUUCAAGCCACCCAAUAUCCUAUUUAUCAACAUAAAGAGUGAGACUAACCUUUGGAUCACCGCCGGGGCAAAAAAUGUGGGCCUUCUGAUGCUGGGAGAGUAA
rnacentral:rRNA from 1 species